AGUACAUCAUCAUGUUAAUGGCGCUCUUGCUAAUGCCAUUGUCUGACUUGUUGAACCUACCAAAAAAAAAAAGAAUAAGAAAAACUACAAUGAAACAAAACAUACAAUAAGAACUAAGAAUGUAGUGUGUCGUUUUAGGUGAGGAUGGAGUGGAAAUGCUCUCGACCUGAUUGUUGAAUUAAUUGUUCAACAGUCAUGGUAUCCGGCUCAUGUGGAAAAAUUGGAGCAGGAACAACUGGAAAUAAUUUUUCUUUUUGGAGGAUAUCAAACCACAGGAAAUGCUCGCCAGACAACUUCUAAUUCGUGGUAUGGAACGGGGUAGCCUCGCCGUGUUGUCACCACCAGACCUACAAUUUUUUUGUUUCGCUAAUAAUAAUAACAUAUAAAAAUUAUAAAUUAAAACAUUCAUCUACAAAUAUGUAUUGUUAAAUUAAUGAUGAAAGAAAAAAAAUAUUUAAGAUUCAGAAACUUGAAAAUUGUUUAUAUAUAUAAUAAUUAUUAUAAACUAUAUAAAGUAACAAUUCUUUUAAAUAUAUUUAAUAAAAAAGUUUUUAUAUAAGUUAAUGCCAUAAUUGAAUCUCAUCUUAUCUCAUGAAAUAUCUUUGUCAAUUUCAUACUUGUCUAACAUUCCCACCUCAUAUUUUCUCUCUUCCACAUCACCAUCUCUCUUUUCUAUCUAAUAAUUCAAUACUCACCCACUAACAAUGGUUUGUUGAAUUUUAUUCAACACCUUACCAUGCUUUUUAAAUAAUUUUAUAUUCUUAUGUUUUUGUAAUUACUUAUUAACAAUUAUUGAAUGAAAUUAAAUUUAAAUAUUUUAGAACUAAAUAUAUGUUUCUACUGUGUAACGUACGUUUAAAAAGUUUACCGUAUAAUAGUAGGACUAACUCUAUUACAAUUCUAAUCAUAGUUAAUUAUCUUUCGUAAAAUUCUUUUUUUCAAAUAUGCUGCAUUGAUAUUAAAUUAAACUUCAUAAAUUAUUAAAACAUUUGAAAAAGAGUUGACUAUUAAUAUCGAAAGGAAAAUUAAAAAUACCAGAACAUAAGUUUUGAAGUUACAGUCCAAUAUCAACUUGAAAUGUCGAAGCCCAUGAAGAGAGAAGUCAAGAUUGAACACUGUCAAUCAAUUUGUGUGCCAUAUAUAGCUUUCAUUCAACGAGACAUAAGAUGAUAGUGAGAGAGCAUUGUAGUAACAUACAUGGUAAUGAGUGAGAACAAUAAAGAACCAAAACAUUUUUAAGGCCGAUUUUCUGAUCUUAUGGCUUCAAAUUUGUUCAUUAGAACUGCAUCAACUUGUCUGAACAAAGAUCCAGGGUUCUGAAAAUGUUGCGAUGCAAUCUUUGAUUUCUCCUUCCAUAGAUUAUAGACAGUGCACUGACAUACCAAAAUAAUGAGCAUUGUCGAGUAUGUUUCACCUUGAAUAGACUCCAAAAAACAGAGUGUCGCAUUCGAACUAGUUGAAGGAGGAUGGUACCUGCAUCGUAAAUAGAUUGUGCUCCAAAGAUCAGAGGAGUAAGUGCAAAAAUAACAUAUGUAGUCCCUUGAUUCAUUUUCUGAAUUUCAUAAGAGGUAAAGCGGUUCAAUGUUCUAACCCCAACUAAUGUUAUCUCUAUUAGGGUAUUUAUCUAAUUUAAACAUCGAACAUAUAAAAUUAUGUUUAGGAAUGCCCCUACUACACCAAAUGUCCUUCGACCAAGACCCUAAAGGAGACAAAAGCCAAAUAAGGUUUAAUAACCCUCAACAAUAAUAAGAACGUGGAUGAAGCCAAAUAAUGGUGUUGAUGAGAGGCCUAAGUUAUAAUUGGUAAAUAAAUAUGGAUCAAUCAAUGGAAUGAAUUCGACACGCAAAAAUAGUGCAUUGGGUUGAAUGGCCUUAAAAGUGUUAAAUGUUGCAGAAAAUUCAUUAAGCACAUGGAAGCCAAAAAGAUAAUAGAAGUGUUCGAGAAUGAGAAGUCGAAGUCCAAAGAACAAAGAACAAAAAACUUAUAAAAGUAGUUGUUUUCGGGGUACAUGGUAAAUUGGUCAGAGUAUCGGUUACAUUGGUCAAGAAAUUACUUCCUCGAUAGUUUGAAAAAUAUUUUAGUAUGCUAGAAUGGAAACACCGCAAGUGACGUUGGCAGAAUAACCGGAUAGCAUGUGAUAAAAAGUUAAAUCUACUUGGAUUUGCUUGAAUUUGAAGUUGAGUUUUGAAAGAAGUAAUAAUACGAGAAGAUUCUUCGAAAAAUAUAGAUGGUCGAAAAUGCUCGCGGUAUAGCUUAAUCCCAGAAUAUAAAAAAAUCAAGUUGCACGAAAUAUUUCUUUUGGCUAUGAUUCCUGCUUCCUAAGCAGAAGCGGAAUCAGAAGCAUCUGGAAUCGCUUGGAAUCGUGAUUCUAGAAAAGCUGAAUAUGAAAGCGCAUGAGAACCAAUGAUUCCACUACAAAAAGGCAGGUGAAUUUUGAUAGAAAAUUUCGUCAGAACUAGCUCGUCAAAAAAAAAUUCAUCGAAAAUUAUGACAGUUUUCCAACGGAUUCUGAUGGACAUAUUUCCGACUAAAAUUUCGUCAGAAAUAAUUCUGAGGAAAUAAUUCGUCUGAAAUUACUUCAGACAAAACAGACAUUGUCAGAAAGAUUGGUGCUCGGAAUUUCCAACAAAAAAUCUCGGUUAGAAAUAUCAGACGAACUUUUUCGCUGGAAUAUUUUGACGAAGCAAAUCGGUCGGAAGUUUUGGACAAAUUCCGUCGUAAAUAUCUGACCAACUUUUCUGUCGAAAAUUUCCGACAGAUAGUUUCGGUUCAAAUUCCACUGAUUCUUGUAUCAUCGAAAUGUUUUAAAUUUAUUUAUAUAAUUAAUUUUUAAUUAAUGCAGAUAUUUUUAUUAUUUAAUAAAUAAUUAAAAAUAUAUAAAUUCGAAAAUAUAUAAAUAAAGUUUUACAAAACAAAAAAAACAUUUAAAAGUUCUUAAAUUAAAAAAAAAACAACAACUCAGGAGGAAACAACCUCUUUAUUUUGUUCAUUAGCUCCUGGUUCAGCCUCUGAGUUUUUACCACAACCGAUCUUUGUUCCGCCGCUGCAGCUUUAUGUUCCACCAUUUCAGCAAGAUUUGUAGCAUUUUGUGUCUCCAAGGCUUCAAUCCAGUCAUCUUUGUUCUUUAACUGCUCCAUAAUCACGAGAUCGGCAUACAUUGCUUGUGAAGAAGAAGGACAAGAGGAGGCCCGACAACUCAACUGGACCAGGGAAUUUUUCUUUCUUAGAACAGCCUGAAAAAUCUUAAAAAAAUAUGAAUGAAACUAAAAUAUUAAAGAAAUUACUAAUCUAAAAAUUACCUUUUCUACCAUUUCGUUUAUUCGAACUUGUCACAAGUUGAUGGAAGCCGAAGAAUCAUCAUCAGAGAUGAUCUGGAAAGCACGGACUUGUUCCACCCGAGUUUCCAUGAACUCUAUGAUAUCCUUCAUAAUAGAAUCUUGAAUUUUUCCCGUCUUCUUGUUGGUGUACGUCCCGUUCAUUAUAUUGAUAUAAUUGAAAGGAUUACCUUCAUUUUUUUUAAUUUAAAAAAGAAAAUUAAUAAAUAAUUUUUUUUUAAAUAAUUAAAGAAAAUAUACAACUCUAAGUUGAUCGUCAUAAUAAGAUAUACUGCAUGCACCUAAGUUCUUGACAUAAAGAUAUUUUCCGCCACAGUCGCUUUGGUGGUCCUUGGAAUUAAAGGCAGCUGACUUAUCUUUAGACUCAUGUUUAGACUAAUGCGCCUGCAAAUCAAACCAGACCGUCCUGUUUAUAGAUUUUGGUGUCUUUCCCUACGACACAGCUUCUUCCACUUAUAGAUAUUCUUCCCAUAAGUUCUCAUGGCAUUUUGGUGAAAGGUUACACCGACUACUUUCGUAUCUCCGGAUUCCCAAGUUAAUUAUUGAUGACAAACGAAAAACACAUAAAUAGUAGAAAUAUAACAGAAAAAAUUAAAUAAAAUGUUUAAAAAAUAUUUAAGAAAUACCUCAAAUUGACGGAAAACUUGAUUUCAGAUUUCGGGAACUUGCUGUAAUAUGGAUAUCCGUGACUGAGAAUGGAGUACAUCAUCAUGUUAAUGGCGCUCUUGCUAAUGCCAUUGUCUGACUUGUUGAACCUACCAAAAAAAAGAAUAAGAUAAACUACAAUGAAACAAAACAUACAAUAAGAACUAAGAAUGUAGUGUGUCGUUUUAGGUGAGGAUGGAGUGGAAAUGCUCUCGACCUGAUUGUUGAAUUAAUUGUUCAACAGUCAUGGUAUCCG
rnacentral:lncRNA from 1 species